rnacentral:rRNA from 1 species
GGAGUUUGGGCCGUGUCUCAGUCCCAAUGUGGCCGGUCACCCUCUCAGGUCGGCUACUGAUCGUCGCCUUGGUAGGCCGUUACCCUGCCAACUAGCUAAUCAGACGCGGGUCCAUCCUAUACCACCGGAGUUUUUCACACCAGACCAUGCGGUCCUGUGCGCUUAUGCGGUAUUAGCAGUCGUUUCCAACUGUUAUCCCCCUGUAUAGGGCAGGUUACCCACGCGUUACUCACCCGUCCGCCACUCAGUCAUAAAAGCUUCCAUCCGAAAACUUCCGCUUAAAUGCUUCGUUCGACUUGCAUGUGUUAAGCACGCCGCCAGCGUUCAUC